rnacentral:misc_RNA from 1 species
GAAGAAAAAAAAAUGUUCUUCUUCUUCGUUGGAGGAGUAGAGCAGCAGGUGCGCCAGGUCCUUAAAUCAGGUGUAGGCAGGUGCAUAAACUGCGGCUCCAUGGCUGAUCUAGUGGAGAACGACAAGGUUCUCAAGCUCUUCUUUGUUCCUGUGUGGAAGUGGCCCAGUAAAGAGCCCGCUGUGUAUUGUAACAACUGUAAUCUCAUGUUCCCUCGAUCUUUUCCUCUCCCACCUCCAGAGACUCAUCCAUCAGAUUCAGUCGUUUCGGAGAGCUUACGCUGCCGUUUCUGUGACCGGGUCGUGGGGGCUGAGUUUAGGUUCUGUCCUUUUUGUGGGUCUUCUCUGUAAGUGGGAUUUGGGUCGAUACGUAAUCAGUGUUUGCUGUACUUGUGAUCAAGUGAUGUAACUCUCACUGCAACAAAGAAAUUUACUGAGAGUUACAUCACUUGAUCACAAGUAC